CCUACGGGGGGCAGCAGUGAGGAAUAUUGGUCAAUGGACGCAAGUCUGAACCAGCCAUGCCGCGUGCAGGAAGACGGCUCUAUGAGUUGUAAACUGCUUUUGUAGGAGGGUAAACGCAGAUACGCGUAGCUGUCUGAAAGUAUCGUACGAAUAAGGAUCGGCUAACUCCGUGCCAGCAGCCGCGGUAAUACGGAGGAUUCAAGCGUUAUCCGGAUUUAUUGGGGUUAGAGGGUGCGUAGGCGGUCUGUUAAGUUAGAGGUGAAAUCCUGAGGCUCAACUAUGGAAUUGCCUGUGAUACUGUUAGGCUAGAGAAUAGUUGCGGUAGGCGGAAUGUAUGGUGUAGCGGUGAAAUGCUUAGAGAUCA
rnacentral:rRNA from 1 species